rnacentral:rRNA from 1 species
AGUGAACGCUGGCGGUAGGCCUAACACAUGCAAGUCGAACGGCAGCACAGUAAGAGCUUGCUCUUACGGGUGGCGAGUGGCGGACGGGUGAGGAAUACAUCGGAAUCUACUUUUUCGUGGGGGAUAACGUAGGGAAACUUACGCUAAUACCGCAUACGACCUACGGGUGAAAGCAGGGGAUCUUCGGACCUUGCGCGAUUGAAUGAGCCGAUGUCGGAUUAGCUAGUUGGCGGGGUAAAGGCCCACCAAGGCGACGAUCCGUAGCUGGUCUGAGAGGAUGAUCGGCAACACUGAAACUGAGACCCGGUCCAGACUCCUAGGGGAGGCAGCGGGGGGAAUAUUGGACAAUGGGCGCAAGCCUGAUCCAGCCAUACCGCGUGGGUGAAGAAGGCCUUCGGGUUGUAAAGCCCUUUUGUUGGGAAAGAAAAGCAGCAGGUUAAUACCCCGCUGUUCUGACGGUACCCAAAGAAUAAGCACCGGCUAACUUCGUG